UACGUAGGGUGCAAGCGUUGUCCGGAAUUAUUGGGCGUAAAGAGCUUGUAGGCGGUUUGUCGCGUCUGCCGUGAAAGUCCGGGGCUCAACUCCGGAUCUGCGGUGGGUACGGGCAGACUAGAGUGCGGUAGGGGUGACUGGAAUUCCUGGUGUAGCGGUGAAAUGCGCAGAUAUCAGGAAGAACACCCGUGGCGAAGGCGGCUCUCUGGGACGGUACUGACGCUGAGACGCGAAAGCGUGGGGAGCGAACAGG
rnacentral:rRNA from 1 species